rnacentral:lncRNA from 1 species
AGAAGAUAAAGAGAUACCAAGUACCUGUAUGGAGGAUAAUGACCAUUUUGUCAUAGCCUCAGCCAACAAAAGAAUUUAAGCAGAAGGCAUAGGGUCACCUUUGCAUGUUAGAAAGGGGAUUCUGAAAUGUGGAAGAGAAAAAGCAAGCACCUGAGCCAGGAGUGACGAUAUAGUAAACUACUUAAAUAGACAAGGGGAGAAGAGAUGAAGACCUGACCAAGACUAAGACCAUGGGGAUGAGAGGAAAAAUCUUCUGCUCAUAAAGACACUGAAUGCUGUUGAUAGAUUUUUCAAAUCCCAUUUUUACAGUGAACUC